UCAUUUUGUAAGAUAUUUCAA
rnacentral:piRNA from 1 species